CUCGUAGGCGGCCAACUAAGUCAGACGUGAAAUCCCCAGGCUCAACCUGGGAACUGCGUCUGAUACUGGAUGGCUUGAAUCCGGGAGAGGGAUGCAGAAUUCCAGGUGUAGCGGUGAAAUGCGUAGAUAUCUGGAGGAAUACCGGUGGCGAAGGCGGCAUCCUGGACCGGCAUUGACGCUGAGGAGCGAAAGCCAGGGAGCAAAC
rnacentral:rRNA from 1 species